CCUACGGGAGGCAGCAGUGAGGAAUAUUGGUCAAUGGGCGGGAGCCUGAACCAGCCAAGCCGCGUGAGGGAAGAAGGUGCAGCGUAUCGUAAACCUCUUUUGUCAGGGAACAAAGUCGGGCACUAGUCCCCGGCUGAGGGUACCUGACGAAAAAGCAUCGGCUAACUCCGUGCCAGCAGCCGCGGUAAUCCGGAGGAUGCGAGCGUUAUCCGGAUUUAUUGGGUUUAAAGGGUGCGCAGGCGGGCUGUUAAGUCAGCGGUAAAAGCCCGGGGCUCAACCCCGGCGAGCCGUUGAAACUGGCGGGCUGGAGUUGGAGAGAAGUAUGCGGAAUGCGCGGUGUAGCGGUGAAAUGCUUAGAUAUCGCGCAGAACCCCGAUUGCGAAGGCAGCGUACCGGCGCCAAACUGACGCUGAGGCACGAAAGCGUGGGUAUCGAACAGGAUUAGAUACCCCAGUAGUC
rnacentral:rRNA from 1 species